rnacentral:rRNA from 1 species
GGAUAUUGGUCAAUAGCCUAACGGCUGAACCAGCAAUUUACAGGAAUAAAAAUGAAAAAGUUCUAAAAGGAUCCUUAGAUAAAAGGCUAAGGUGAAAAAUUAAGCUUUAAAUAUAAUUCUAGGUAUAAAUUGAUAAUGACAAUUUUUUAUCUACAAGUCUUGACCAAAUCUUGUGCCAGCAGUCGCGGCAACACAAGGAAGACAGGUGUUAUUCAUCUUAAAUCGGUAUAUCGGGUACCUAGACAGUAAAUUAAUCUUUAACCGGAAUUUUUUUACUAGAGUUAUAUAAACGAUAGGAAUAUGUUAGUAUUACCAGAGUAGAGAUGAAAUUCUUUAAUACUGUUAAGACUGGUAAAGGCAAAAGCAAACCUUUAUAUAUUAACUGACGUUGAGGGACGAAGGCUUGGGGAGCAAACAGGAUUAGAUACCCUAAUAGUCCAGGCAGAGAAUUAUGAAUGUCAUAGGUUAUAUUUAUUAUAUUCUAUAAAUGAAAGUGUAAGCAUUCCACCACAAGAGUAAUGUGGCAACGCAGGAACUGAAAUCAUUAGACCGUUUCUGAUACCAGUAGUGAAGUAUGUUAUUUAAUUUGAUGGUCCGCAAAAAACCUUACCACAGUUUGAAUAUAGAAAGUAGAUUUUUUCUAUACAAGCGUUGCAUUGUUGUCUUCAGUUAAUGUAUUGAGAAUUGGUUAGAUUCAUUAAAUUAACGUAAUCCUAUAUUUUAUUUAAAUAUUAAUAAAGUAGUUCACCGCUAUAUUGGAUUUUGAUAACUAGGAGUAAGACAAGUCGUAAUGACCUUA